rnacentral:lncRNA from 1 species
GCUUUCAGAUAUUGGGAUGAUUUUUCGCUUGUGAAUUAACCAAGAUGAGUUACAGAUUAAGUUUAAGUUUUGUUCCGCUCGGCUAUAUUUUGCCAAAUUACGGGCUAUGGACUUUAGUUUGAUAAAUUGUUGAAAAUAACAAUUAUAGUCUUUUUUUCUAAACGAUUUCAGAUAUUGGGCUAAUUUUUGGUAUGUGAGUUAUACAGAUCAAGUUUAAGUUUCGUUUUGCCCGGCUGAUUUUUGCUGUAAUUUCGGACUUUGGACUUUGAUAAAUUUUUGAAAAUCACAGUUAUACAGGUUGGGAACAAACCCCCUGUAUGGUGAUUAUACCUGUAUAGAGGGAUAAUCCUUCUUUAGAGGGAUAAAAUUAUCCCUCUGUAGAGGGGUAUUUUUGUUUGCACUGGAUUUAAAGCAAAUUAGGGCAGAAUGGCAUUUUCUAUUUAUAUUGGCUAUAAUCUCUAGCAUUAUAUGCAUCAACAUAUGCACUUUACUAAAAAUUGGGAUAACCAGUUUUCUGCUAAAGUGACAAAACUUGCAAUCUAUUGUAUACCAUCUGAACACCUGAUCAACAACAAAAGGAAUAGUUGACCUUUAAAUUUCAUGUUAAAUCUAACAAUAGAAAUUCUGUUCAG